UACAGAGGUCUCAAGCGUUGUUCGGAUUCAUUGGGCGUAAAGGGUGCGUAGGUGGCGCCGUAAGUCGGGUGUGAAAUCUCGGAGCUUAACUCCGAAACUGCAUUCGAUACUGCCGUGCUUGAGGACUGGAGAGGAGACUGGAAUUUACGGUGUAGCGGUGAAAUGCGUAGAUAUCGUAAGGAAGACCAGUGGCGAAGGCGGGUCUCUGGACAGUUCCUGACGCUGAGGCACGAAGGUCAGGGGAGCAAACGGG
rnacentral:rRNA from 1 species